rnacentral:rRNA from 1 species
GUGAAUCCUUCGGGUGAAGCGGAUUGCUUGAUUCCACACUGCCAAGAAAAACCUCUAGUUAGGUGAAGGUGACCGUACCGUAAACCGACACAGGUGGACGAGAUGAGUAUUCUAAGGCGCUCGGGUGAUCCACCCUUAAGGAACUCGACCAAUUAGCCCCGUAACUUCGGAAGAAGGGGUACUCCUGAUGGUGAAAGACUUGCUCUGUAAGCUUUUGGGAGUGGCACUAAAGUGGCUCAGGCGACUGUUUACUAAAAACAUAGGUCUCUGCAAAGUCGUAAGACGACGUAUAGGGACUGACGCCUGCCCAAUGCCGGAAGGUUAAGGGGAGAGGUUAGACUUCGGUCGAAGCUUUGAACUGAAGCCCCGGUUAAUGGCGGCCGUAACUAUAACGGUCCUAAGGUAG